rnacentral:rRNA from 1 species
AUUGAACGCUGGCGGCAUGCCUUACACAUGCAAGUCGAACGGCAGCACGGGGGCAACCCUGGUGGCGAGUGGCGAACGGGUGAGUAAUGCAUCGGAACGUACCCGGAAGUGGGGGAUAACGUAGCGAAAGUUACGCUAAUACCGCAUAUUCUGUGAGCAGGAAAGUGGGGGACCGCAAGGCCUCACGCUUUCGGAGCGGCCGAUGUCGGAUUAGCUAGUUGGCGGGGUAAAGGCCCACCAAGGCGACGAUCCGUAGCGGGUCUGAGAGGAUGAUCAGCCACGAUGGGACGGAGAGACGGCCCAGAGUCCUACGGGAGGCAGCAGGGGGGAAUUUUGGACAAUGGGCGCAAGCCUGAUCCAGCCAUGCCGCGUGAGUGAAGAAGGCCUUCGGGUUGUAAAGCUCUUUCGGCGGGGAAGAAAUUGCUCAGGUUAAUACCUUGAGUAGAUGACGGUACCCGCAUAAGAAGCACCGGCUAACUACGUGCCAGCCGCCGCCGUAAGAC